CAAAGACACCCUCAAGACCAAAGUCAUUCUUGCUCAGAAGGAAGGUGAGAUGGAGAUUGCUUAUCUUCACAAAGUAGAGGGUAGACUCUCCUAGCCAAGGAGAAGUGCAACCAAGCAGAAGGAUGAGCAGUCCGAUCCAAGAAGAAAGCUGCCCAAGCCAAGGACAAAGAUACUCAGGCUGAAAAAAGGAUGAUAGGAGUAGAGGUUGGAACUACUAAGGUCUUGGAGAGGGUUUUCCUUACUAAUAAGAAAGUGACCCA
rnacentral:lncRNA from 1 species